rnacentral:rRNA from 1 species
GACUGCAGCCACAUCACCCUGGACACUCCAGAUCUCAUCUGAUCUUGGACACUAAGCAGAACUGAGCCCAGUCAGCACUUGGAGAAAUGGAGACAGUCCAGGAAGGCAGGCU